UGCCUGGGAGACUCGGGGUCCUCCCCAGUCCCGCCUCCCCACCUCCACACAAGGGUGAAUCUGAAUCCCCAGGCACCCAGGCCAGGGGAACGGAGGCAGAGCAGACCUCCAGUGUCCCCCGUGACCUGGCAGGUGGCAGUGGACAUUCUCCUCCCACAGACGCCCCCGUGAGUUUUCAUCUCUGCCUGCUGGGUGGAGCCCCUGACUCGGCUGAGCCAAGGGUGGGGGGGUUGGUGAACCGACCGGCCCCCUGGGUUUCUUGAACCCUUUCUCAGGCUCCCGGAAGGGGCUGAGGGGCCUGGCACCAUCCCACCAGCGCAGCGGUCCCCAACCCUUUUGACACCGGGGACAGGUUUUGUGGAAGACAAUGUUUCCGUGGGUGCUGGGGAGAAGACGGGAUGGUUUCCUCCUCAGAUCAUCAGGCAUUCGAUUCCCAUAAGGAGGGGACAACCUGGAUCCCGCGCGUGCGCCGUUCCCAUUAGGGUCCGCUCCUGUGAGAAGUUAGUGCUACUGCUGAUCUGACAGGAGGCGGAGCUCAGGCGGUCACGCUCGUCCGCCACUCACCUCCUGCCGUGCGGCCGGUUCCCAACAAGCCACAGCCUGGGGACCCCUGCUCUGGAGGACGGCGAGUGUCUCUCGGUCAUCCCCAAUGGGCCAGUGAUCCUGCUGGAGGGGCUGGGGCUGCACAGGCCACAGGCUCAGUUGUGCUGCUGGCCAAAGAUGUCCACUGAAGUGGCUCCAGAGUCCCUCAAGGAAGCCGACGUCCACUUCGCUUCCUCCUCCCAGCCCCACCUUCACUUCCGGGACCAUGGAGCUCAUGGGGCCUGCACGCCACGGAGUCCCCGACUGAGGAGCGAGGAGGGCUCUUGUGGGGGCAGAUCUGGAGUCAUACUUGAGGCCAGGCUCGAAUCCUGCCUUCCUUUGGUGGCUCUGAGAUUCAGGGCUGGCUUUUCUGAGAAUACCCAAGUGAGGUGCCUUGGGAUGUCCCUGACUUGGAGACACAGAGGAGGCUGGGCACCCCUUUUCCCCGACUCACUGAGCCAGGGAAGGGGCCACACCCUCUUCAGACCUCUGGCUGCUGCAUGAAACGGGAGCCCUGCCUGGGCUGCCCACCGCGCAUCACAGACGGAUCCCUGCAAAUUUCGCAGGCAUCUGGAUCGAAUAACAGGCUGAUAGGGCGUAUAAAAUCAGAGACAGAACUCUCCAGAAGGCCGGGUGCGGCUCCCUGGGAUUCCACACGAGAAGGCAGGGAUGCUGCUGCCCACACGGGAAGGAUGGAGGCUGAGUCAGAGGGAAGACAGUGGCAAGCCCAGCCUGGAGGGGAGCGGGGGAUGGGGGGUCCAGGAAAAGACCAGCAGGAGGUUGGGGUGGGACACAGGGAGCGUGCUGCCCGGGGAGGUCCCCCAGAGCAGGAGGGCCGGACCCUCCCACCCCCUCCGCAGGACCCCGUCCCUGCUUCACUCCCUCACCCCUAGUUCUGAGUUGGGCCCAGCCCGAGUCUCCACCAGGCGGACGGUAGCUCCUCGGGGCAGCUGGGUGCGGCAUCUGCAGGCUGAGGCAGACACCCAGAUACUAGCAGCGUCCCUGGCCUCCAAGCCCAGCCUGGGGUGAACCUUGACAAAGGCCCUAGACCCCACCCACCACCCCACCAGGGCUCUGAGUUCUCCGUGAGGACUGGUUUCCCUGGAAGGUGAACACUUGGGAGCUGGGUCCCUUGAGGAUUGUUCUUCCCAGGUCUUCACUGUUUCCAGACGUGUGCCUUAGACAUCUGCAUGGACAUCUCUUCCCAGGGAUGGGGGUCUCAGGGCAGGUGCAUUUAAACUUGUGAUAGAGACUCCAAAUCACCUUUCAAAAGGUUGUUCCCAUUUGCACCCCUGCAUGCGUGUGUCAAUGCAUCCCUUCCUCACUGAAGCAACACUAGAUUUUGUCAUAAAAUAUUUUUCAAUUUCUUAUUUCUAUGAUUAAUAGGGAGGUUGGAUAUUUUGUGAUAUUCAUCAGUUUAGUUGACUAUGUUUUCUGUUUUCACUCUUUACCACUUUUCUAUCUCGUUUGCUUUUUUCUUGUUAUUUGUGGGAGUUCUUUAUAUAUGAUGGAUGUUGUGUUUACAUUGCAGAUAUUCGUUCCCAGUCUGCUGCUUAUUAUUUUACCUUUUAAAGAUUGUU